CAGGCGUAGCAAUACGUGCUGACGAGCGGCGAACGGGUGAGCAAUGCUUCGGAAUCUGCCCAAUGAUGGGGAAUAACCAGUCGAAAGAUUGGCUAAUACCGCAUACGCCCUUCGGGGGAAAGCGGGGGUCGCAAGACCUCGCGUCGAUGGAUGAGCCGAAGUCGGAUUAGCUAGUUGGUAGGGUAACGGCCUACCAAGGCGACGAUCCGUAGCUGGUCUGAGAGGACGACCAGCCACACUGGGACUGAGACACGGGCCAGACUCCUACGGGAGGCAGCAGUGGGGAAUAUUGGACAAUGGGGGCAACCCUGAUCCAGCGACGCCGCGUGUGUGAAGAAGGCCUGCGGG
rnacentral:rRNA from 1 species